CACUUGUGGUAAGAUUAUCAUAACCCAGCAUUGUUGAAUCACUGUGUUGUACCUCUGAAACCAAUGUCUACUACUCUCAAAACACAAUCAACUGAAAAGAGACAAAACCGACUUCACGUCCGUAGCGUUGAAAUGAAGUUUUCCACUUCCACUGAAACUAGGGGUUCCAUUCCUUGUAGGAGAACAAAAGGAGGCUUGAGGAAGUGACAAAACCUCCCAGAAAUGAGUGUGCGGAUGACCUCUGUUACCGGGAAGGUGUGAACCUCCGUUGACAAUGAGCGAGAACGGAGAGAGGAUGUGGUAGCUGGAAAUAGGCCUAUGGAGUUCAUCUGAGGGGAUGGGGAAUAAAGAGAAGCCUGAUCGAAACAACCAACUAGGAACACUUGGAAACCAGGGAAUGUAGUUAUUCUGGAAGCUCCAGGGGUACAGGUCUGUGAAUCAUCAGGCUUUGGACAUUGGGGAGGAUAUGUGCUAUGAUCGCGUACACUCAAUAUUUCAUGAGCUUCCUUAUUUCUACUGGUCUCUUGAGACUGAAGUGAAGCCAUCGAGCACGUUCUGGCCACUGAACAGAAGUGUGACGAGUUACUUCUAGAUGGAGGUAGUUAAAAGCCAGCGAGAUGCCUCGUCUCUCCCUUCCCUGCCUCGGCAACCUUGAGAUGGUGGCAUUACAAAAUGGCAGUGUUACGGGUCCCAGAGUCCUGGACGGAGGUGGUCCCCCACUGACCUGCUUUGGAUUUUAUGUGAGCAACGAAUAUCCGUUUCCUGUAUCAGGCCACAGAGUUCUCAUUGCCGGUUGUACCAGUUAAGCUAAAUUAUCCUGCCUAAUAAAG